UUUCGUGGCCUAAUGGUUAGAGCGUCCGUCUCGGAUGCGGUAGGUCGCAGGUUCGAACCCCAGCCGAGUCAU